rnacentral:rRNA from 1 species
CAGUCGCCGCGGUAAAACGAAGGGUGCAAGCGUUAAUCGGAAUUACUGGGCGUAAAGCGUGCGUAGGCGGUGAGUUAAGUCUGCUGUGAAAUCCCCGGGCUCAACCUGGGAAUGGCAGUGGAUACUGGCUCGCUAGAGUGUGUCAGAGGAUGGUGGAAUUCCCGGUGUAGCGGUGGAAUGCGUAGAGAUCGGGAGGAACAUCAGUGGCGAAGGCGGCCAUCUGGGACAACACUGACGCUGAGGCACGAAAGCGUGGGGAGCAAACAGGAUUAGAUACCCCAGUAGUCCCUGUCUCUUAUAC